UAGAGAUUGAUACCAAAGCCC
rnacentral:siRNA from 1 species